GGCUAUUUUUCAUCUUCAACGGUCACAAAUGGCUAGCUUCAACUCCAAAUCACUCAGAGGUCGGAGGGAAUCAUCAAGAGAUAAAAGAAAAGCCAAGGAAAGAGAGAAGUAAAACUGUUCAUUGCUAAAAGAAAGAAAUCUACAUUCAAAGCUAAUCAAGAGUGUCCACCAACUUUCAACUACAUUCCUCUUGAUUUUUUAGAGCAUUAAAGAAGAGGGACAAAGAGCGUUGAUUGCUGGCAUUCAAGUCCCCAACCAUCGAGCUUCAAUGACAACAAUUCGACCUUCCUCAUGGGUUUCUUUUGUUGUUCUGUUUUUCAUUUCUAAUUUGCUGUAAUAGUUUCAACUGGGGCUAAAACUUGAAGAGAUAAAUUUGUACCAAACUAGGGUUAGUUUGGGAAGUCUUAGGAUAAAGCUUGUAAAGAUUUUGAUUGAUUGAUCUGAGCUAAAACUAAUUGGAUUUGUUUGUGAACCCAGUGAAAAUAAAUGCACUGUAAUUAGGUUGAUUAUAGUAAAAAUUCCCAAGGGAUAGCUUGGAGAAUGGAUGUAAGUGCUUAAGGUGCACCGAAAUACUUUGUGUGGUUGUGAUCUCCUUCCAUUUCUGCAUUUAGUUUCAACUUAUUUAAUCACUACAUUUUCUAUUUACUUAUCUUUUUGCACAGCAUAUAUUACCUUUAAUUUGAAAAAAUUUUAACAACCCAAUUCACUCUUCUCUUGAGUUGUUCUACUGGGCAAUAAUUGGUAUCAGAACUUUGAUUCUUUGCUAAUUGUUGAUCUCACAAUCAAGAGAAAAAGAUCAUGACAACUCAACUUGGAGGUUUACUUACCGAAAGGCAAUCCAUAAAUAGGCCAUCGCUCUUCAAUGGGUCUAAUUAAAUCUAUUGGAAGGCACAUAUGUGCAUAUUUAUACAAGUCCUUGAUUACGACAUGUGGUGUGUCAUAAUCAAUGGAUUUCACACACCUACAAUCAUUGUAGAUGGGACUGAAAAAUCCAAACCCGAAAAAGAUUGGCAUGAGUAG
rnacentral:lncRNA from 1 species